rnacentral:rRNA from 1 species
GAUCAUGGCUCAGAUUGAACGCUGGCGGCAUGCUUUACACAUGCAAGUCGAACGGUAACAGGUCUUCGGAUGCUGACGAGUGGCGAACGGGUGAGUAAUGUAUCGGAACGUGCCCAGUAGUGGGGGAUAACUACUCGAAAGGGUGGCUAAUACCGCAUGAGAACUGAGGUUGAAAGCGGGGGACCUUCGGGCCUCGCGCUACUGGAGCGGCCGAUAUCAGAUUAGGUAGUUGGUGGGGUAAAGGCCUACCAAGCCGACGAUCUGUAGCUGGUCUGAGAGGACGACCAGCCACACUGGGACUGAGACACGGCCCAGACUCCUACGGGAGGCAGCAGUGGGGAAUUUUGGACAAUGGACGCAAGUCUGAUCCAGCAAUGCCGCGUGCAGGACGAAGGCCUUCGGGUUGUAAACUGCUUUUGUACAGAACGAAAAGGCUCUGGUUAAUACCUGGGGCUCAUGACGGUACUGUAAGAAUAAGCACCGGCUAACUACGUG